rnacentral:rRNA from 1 species
GGUUUGAGUAAAAAGAGUGACGAAUGGAGAACUAGGGUGCACUAAAGAGGACGGAGCCCCCCGAAAUGGCGGAGGAGAGACUUUGAAGCCCUAAUGUCCUGCGCGGCAACGCAGCGGGGGGGCCAGGGGAGCGAAACAUCCCAGUACCGGGCCCCCCACCCCCUCCCCACCCCAUAGUGGGUGUUUCGGGGGGGGCACAAUAAAAAUCAAACGAGAUUCCGCAAGUGGCGGCGAGCGAAAGCGGACGGGCCCUUUCCCGUAGGCCCCCCGGCUCAGCCGGGGGGCGGGGGUCGCCCACCCAGGGGCGGGCGAGUAGUGAUGGGAAGAUGGGUGGCCACACAUCCAAGGCUUAAUAACUAGUGUCACACCGAAAGAGGGGAGUACUGUGAAGGAAAGUUGAAAGAGACUUGAAAAGACCUUGAAAUGAGUCACUUAAAGCAGUUGUAACACAACGUACCUUUUGUAUAAUGGGUCCACGAGAUAAAAUUUGGCAAACUUAAAGUGCAAUCUUUGAUUAAGAUUCCUGGCCCCUAAGGUGUAGUGAAAGCAAGGGGGGGGAUACCCCCACCCCUCAGUCAAAUUUCCCGAAACCAAGUGAUCUAGCCAUGGGCAGUUUUUAGGAACGAACCGGUGGUUGUUGCAAAAACCUCGGACGACCUGUGGUUAGGGGCGAAACGCCAAUCGAACUUGGAGAUAGCUGGUUUUCUGCGAAAACUAUUGAAGUAGUGCGUCCACAAUUCAAGGAUAAUCAAGUCUUAGACUGGCGUGGCCCACGGCCGCCAGAUUUGCAUUAUCCAAUGAGAAUGGCUUGGAAUGCGGUAAAGCCCGACCCCCCGAAGCCGGGGGAUUAACUAUGAAGAAAACAAGCCAGAGUGGGACAGACAGACUGUGGGCGAUAAGGUCGACGGUCUAAAGGGGAGAAGCCCUAACCAGAAGUUAAAGUCAUUAAUAAAAUUCCCACCAUCCCUCAGGAUGGUGGCUAGUAUAAAUUUAGUGUAAAAGAGAUAUUGGGUUUAGACAAUGGAGAAGUGGGCUUGGAGCCAGCCACCUUUGAGAGAUGACGUAGCAGUUCACUCAAGAAAUUCUUUUAUCUCUAAAAUUAUGGUGGCUAAAGUUGAACUGAAACUCUGGGGGCGAAAUAACAAGGUGGGGUCCGGGGGGACCCAACCCCCGCCCUUCGUUAUGUUUGUCCGGUAGCAGAACGUACUGUUAAUUGUUCAGUGAGAGCCCCACACGGCAUCAGAAGUGAUAAUGUGGACAUGAGUAAAAAAUCAUAGGAUCACUCCCCCCCUGGUUUCCCAUAUUAGUUAUGGGGUUAAACAGCCCCUAAAAUUGCAGCCCCAAAGGUUGCGUUAAUGGGGUGCCAUGAGUAAUAGACGCACAAAGUGCCAGGAAAGAAUUAUUCAAGGGCAUCGGUAAAUCGAAGGUGAUAACCAUCGCGAGGGAUGGUGGUCACCAUCUUUCGGCGCCGCACUGUACUAAACUAACUAAAGUGGGGGAUAGUGAGGGGAUAAAUUUCCUUAAGGAACUCGGCAAAAAUCCCAAUGGCCCACCAGGGCAUAAAUUGGAACACGGGCCUCGACUGUUUACCAAAAACAUAGCCCUCGGCCAAUAUGAAAAUAGAAGUAUGGAGGGUGAGGCCUGCCCAAUGGUUGUAUCUAAAAGCGGUUGAUAAAAGUCGACCGCGUAAGGACAAUUGAAUGGCCGCGGUAACACUGACCGUGAUAAUGUAGCGUAAUCAAUAGCCAAUUAAUUGUUGGCCAGUAUGAAUGGCGCCACGAAGGCCCCACUGUCUUAAGGAAAUUCCCAGUGAAAUUGAAUUCGUAGUGAAGAUGCUACGUCCAAUUUGUUAGACGAAAAGACCCCGUUGAGCUUUACUGGGGCACUUACACGGCCCCGGCCUUCAAGACUGGGUUGAUAAGCCAAGGCUUACCAUACCUAGGGACCGGCCGAAUUUAAAUGGGUGGCUUAGACUAUGUGGCAGCCCCCCCCGUCGGGGCAGAUGAAACCCCACUCCCCCAUGUCAAAGGGGCUAACCCCCCCCCCUUGGGGGGGGACAAUGUAAGUAGGACAGUUUGGUUGGGGCGACCGCCUUUUAGAAAGUAACGAAGGUGCGCUUAAGGUGCGUAAUUAAUGACUGAAGCCUGACUGCGAGGGGGAUACCCCGAGCAGACACCCCCAAGCCCGCCCGAGAAGGCUUUGCCUUCUGGGCGGCGGUGGGGUGGGCCAUAGUGACCCGUUAAUUUAGAGUGGAAUAGUUAACGAUCAACGAAUAAAAGUUACCACGGGGAUAACAGCGUAAUAUCGUUAGAGAGUUCACAUCGACGACGAUGUUUGCGACCUCGAUGUUGAAUUGCGGCAUCCUGGGGUGCAGCCGCUCCCAAGGGUUGGUCUGUUCGUCCAUUAAAGCCGUACAUGAUUUGAGUUAAAAGCGUGGUAACACAGCUUGGUUUCUAUCUACAAAUUGAAGAAACAUCGAUAUAACUAUCUUCUAGUACGAAAGGACCGAAGGAUUAGUGAUCCUCUUGUUUAUUAUAAGUUACGAUCAACCCAUUGACCUCAACCCCUCCCCCUCCCGGGGGGGGCGAGGGGUCUCUCAGCUAAUCACUGACCGCUUCUAAAGUGGGAAAGUCAUAUCGAAAUGUUUGGGCCCAUUAUAGGGGGGCUAAAACCCCCACCAUCACGAGUGAUGGUGGCCAGCCCUCGUGCUGGGAUUA